GGGGGGGGGGGGCGGGGGGCCGAACACAUGCAAGGCGAGCGGAUGAAGGGGGCUUGCUCCUGGAUUCAGCGGCGGACGGGUGAGUAAUGCCUGGGAAUCUGCCUGGUAGUGGGGGAUAACGUCCGGAAGCGGGCGCUAAUACCGCAUACGUCCUGAGGGAGAAAGGGGGGGAUCUAGGGCCCUAACCCUCCAGACUGGCCCUGGUCGGAAUAGCCAGUUGGUGGGGUAAAGGGCUACCAAGGCGACGAUCCGUAACUGGUCUGAGAGGAUGAUCAGUCACACUGGAACUGAGACACGGUCCAGACUCCUACGGGAGGCAGCAGUGGGGAAUAUUGGACAAUGGGCGAAAGCCUGAUCCAGCCAUGCCGCGUGUGUGAAGAAGGUCUUCGGAUUGUAAAGCACUUUAAGUUGGGAGGAAGGGCAGUAAGUUAAUACCUUGCCGUUUUGACGUUACCAACAGAAUAAGCACCGGCUAACUUCGUG
rnacentral:rRNA from 1 species